UUCUAUCUCAGAUGGGCAGAGCUUUACGGAGACUGCCGAGUAGAUUUGUAUCAAAGAAGUUUAAUUCCUUUGGUAUAAGCGGAAAAUGUUCUUAUAUCAUAAACACAUAAACAGUAUUCUUUGUUUUAGUAGUAAAAUGGCGAAAAUCCAAGAAUAU
rnacentral:ncRNA from 1 species